rnacentral:rRNA from 1 species
AACGAACGCUGGCGGCAUGCCUAACACAUGCAAGUCGAACGAGACCUUCGGGUCUAGUGGCGCACGGGUGCGUAACGCGUGGGAAUCUGCCCUUGGGUUCGGAAUAACAGUUGGAAACGACUGCUAAUACCGGAUGAUGACGUAAGUCCAAAGAUUUACCGCCCAGGGAUGAGCCCGCGUAGGAUUAGCUAGUUGGUGGGGUAAAGGCCUACCAAGGCGACGAUCCUUAGCUGGUCUGAGAGGAUGAUCAGCCACACUGGGACUGAGACACGGCCCAGACUCCUACGGGAGGCAGCAGUGGGGAAUAUUGGACAAUGGGCGAAAGCCUGAUCCAGCAAUGCCGCGUGAGUGAUGAAGGCCUUAGGGUUGUAAAGCUCUUUUACCCGGGAUGAUAAUGACAGUACCGGGAGAAUAAGCCCCGGCUAACUCCGUG